rnacentral:rRNA from 1 species
GUGGGGAAUAUUGGACAAUGGGGGAAACCCUGAUCCAGCCAUGCCGCGUGAAUGAUGAAGGCCUUCGGGUUGUAAAGUUCUUUUGGAGGGGACGAUGAUGACGGUACCCUCAGAAUAAGCUCCGGCUAACUUCGUGCCAGCAGCCGCGGUAAUACGAAGGGAGCUAGCGUUGUUCGGAAUUACUGGGCGUAAAGGGCGCGUAGGCGGUUUGGUCAGUCAGAUGUGAAAGCCCAGGGCUUAACCCUGGAACUGCGUUUGAUACUGCCAAGCUUGAAUUCGGGAGAGGUGAGUGGAAUUCCCAGUGUAGAGGUGAAAUUCGUAGAUAUUGGGAAGAACACCAGUGGCGAAGGCGGCUCACUGGACCGACAUUGACGCUGAGGCGCGAAAGCGUGGGGAGCAAACAGGAUUAGAUACCCUGGUAGUCC